ensembl:lncRNA
CUCAAAAACCCCUGCGCUCACGCCCCUGUGCUCGCCGCCCGGAGGAGGAGUGUGUGUCAGCAUCGGAGGGCUGGAGCAACUGGGGACGGGUGCGUGGCGGGGAAACGGGGAGAAGACGAGUAGCGAAAGAUGCUGGAGAGGGGGGGGGGUAUGUGUCUUCGACGUCACCGUCAGACCUUAUUAGCACAAGCGGGAAUAUUCAAAAAAUCGACACGCGCUUUCCGUCUAAAGCUAAUUUCUUUCCCGACACGCAUGCUAAAGCGUGGGGUAUAGCGCGCCCUCCCACCACGGCGCACGCAAGAAAUUCACGCUAGCUGCCAUUUCCAGAUCAGCACCAUGGUCAGCACCCCACUACCCGCACAGGCUUUCAGUGUGGAGGGUCCUGCACUCACCCUGCAGAGGACGGGAUUUUAUUUAUUUAUUUAUUUGUUUUCCUUUUUUUCUAUUUUUUUAUGUUGCCGAUCAUUUCUAAAUGUUUGAGGAAGUGUGGAUAUGACUAUUGUAUAGAAAAUAUGUCACUGCUACCGCUGAAGUGCAAACGUCUUCCAAAUCAGCCUGAAUCUAGAACAACGUUCCCUCAUUUGCUAUGAUGUCUUAACAGAGCUCUUUUUUUAUUAUUACAAAAAAAAGGGGGGGGGGGGGGUUCUUGCACAACUACUACCUCACUUGUAAAUUAUUUAUCAGAUAUUUGAUUAACUCAAUUACAUAUUAAUGAAUGCAAAGUAAGACUUUUCACUUAUAAUGUGCGACAGCGGUCGUUCUGGUGACCCAAAGGUUGGUCAUAAGCAUAAUGAAGCUCGCUCAUCUCCUUAACUACAGCGAAUAAACACGCAGGCGCCCCAACACGAUGAGAUGCUGCCCUCUAGCGUCAGUGCGCCAAACUGCUAAGACCAGCUCUACAUGGCGUCCUUCCACCAUUCAUUGCACCAUAUAUACUUAGUUACUUUAUUCUUCAUCUUAUUCUUCCUGUGAUGUUUUAAAAAGUACAUCCGAAGGAUUAAGUAAUAUUUCAAAGUUAUGCAGAAGUAUUUGUAUUAGCAUUAAUAUAAUCAAUCAUGAUCAUAUUAACGCCCAUUUAAGUUUUUAAUGAUAAACCUUAAAAUCGUUGGAUACAAACCGUUGUAGAAACAGCCAUUCUGCAGUUCUCCAGUUUCCCAACAAUGCAAAUCUAACUCGCAACAAAUGCAAAUGUCCAAACGCGCCUGUUUCUCCGAAACCUCACUCACCGCGACAACCCAUUUAGACG